rnacentral:lncRNA from 1 species
CUCAAAGCUUAAUGUCUGGCUUAAUGUUAAAAAAUUGCUUCAAAAAACCCUUUUGAGAUCAACACAAGAAAACAAAAGGUAACAAUUGUAUCAUCAUGGUGCCAACAAAUCAAAUUUCAUCUCCAUCAUCAUCUACUGCAACAACAUCACCGCCAAGUUCAUCUUUUUCAUUGACAACAACAUCUGCCUCAUCUACUUCAGUAGUAGCCUCAACAUCUACCAUGGUAAACACCAAUACCACUAGUUCAUCGAUAACCGAUGUCGAUAUUUUUGAUUCUGAAGAAUAUGUUUUUGAUAAAAUGAGAAUUGGCUCUGCAUCUACAAAAAGUUAUGGAUUAUCUUCCUCAUACUCAUUUCCAUCAGUUCCAUCGGUUACCUCACUGGCUAAUUUUAACAACAAAGAUGGACCAGGUAAAGAGAAAACAUCUUUCAAAGCAAACAAAGGAUCUGAACAAAAAAAAUCAUCAUCUUCCAAAUUAAACGACUCAUUUU